GUGUCCACAGAAGCCACAGAUGUGUAGGGCGAAAACUGGGCUAUUGCAAGCGGACGCCAGGGAGGAGGCGUCGCAGCUCUUGCCGCGGAUGUGGUGGUGGACGACGCCAAGUCAGUCGUCUUGUUUACAAAAAAAAAAAAAAAAGGAAGUAAAGAAUGAUUAAGAGGGCCACGGGCCACGCCCUCAGCCUCUCUAACCUCUCUAGUCUCCUUCCUCUCUGUCUUUUGUACAUGCACCUGCCCAGGUGAGACCUCAAAGAAAAAUAACCUGGUGUGUCCACCUAAUCUGUGCCAGCUGUGUCCCUGAGACAAGAUGGUGAAGGUGGGAGUGAACGGAUUUGGCCGUAUCAGGAGCCUGGUCACCAGGGCUGCUUUUAACUCUGGCAAAGUGAACAUUGUCUCCAUCAACGACCCCUUCGUUGACCUUCAUUACAUGGUCUUCAUGUUCCAGUAUGAUUCCAUGGCAAGUUCCAUGGCAGUCAAGGCCGAGAACGGGAAGCUUUCAUCAAUGGAAAGGCCAUCUUCCAGGAGCGAGAUCCCGCCAACAUCAAAUGGGGUGAUGUUGGUGCUGAGUAUGUGGUGGAGUCCACUGGUGUCUUCACUACCAUGGAGGAGGCUGGGGCCCACUUGAAGGGUGGAGCCUAGAGGGUCAUCAUUUCUGCCCCUACUGCUGAUGCCCCCAGGUUUGUGAUGGGCAUGAACCAUGAGAAGUAUGACAACCACCUCAAGAUUGUCAGCAAUGCCUCCUGCACCGCCAACUGAUUGGCCCCCCAGCCAAUAUCAUCCAUGACCACUUCAGCAUCGUAGAGGGAUGGGCUACAUCCUGGGCUACACUGAGGACCAGAUUUUCUCCUGUGACUUCAACAGUGACACUCACUCUUCUACCUUCGAUGCUGGGGCUGGCAUUGUCCUCAACGAUCAUUUGUCAAGCUCAUUUCCUGGUAGGAAAAUGAAUUUGGCUACAGCAACAGGGUGGUGGACCUCAGGGUCCACAUGGCCUCCAAGGAGUAAGAGUCCCUGGGCCACCAGUCCCAGCAAGAGCAUGAGAAGAAGAGAGGUUCUCAGCUGCUGGGCAGUCCUUGCCCCAGCUCCAUCCACCAACACAUUGAGAAUUUCCCAACCUCCGCACAGUUUCCAUCCCAGACCCCCUGAAGAAGGGGAGGGGCUUAGGGAGCCCUACCUUGUCUUGUCAUGUACCAUCAAUAAAGUAUACUGUAUGCAGAAAAAAAGAAAGAAGUUAUAUCAAAUAAUACCAUACUUCACAAUCUCUUCCUGAAAACAAAAACAGAAGGAACACUUCCUAGCUCAAUCUAUGAGGCAAGACAUUGCCUUUGAUGAAGAUUCUUUGCUUGAGCAAACUUAAGUCAGGCUCCUGAACCUUCUCCUAAGCCUAUUUGUACACUUCUCUAUAAAAUCCAGUUCUAGCAAGAACCCUGCUAAGUCACUUUAACCAGAACUCCCCCACCCUUGAAGUCUGAUUACCAAUUUUAAGACUACUAUAAAGCCAUAGUAAUUGGUGAAAGAAUGGCCAUAUACAUCAAUGGAACAGAAUAGAGAGGCCAGAAAUAGAUCACACAACUGUAGUAAAUUAGUUUUUGAUAAGGAUGCAACGAUAACUCAUUGGAGAAGGAAAGUAUUUUCAAUAAAUGGUGCUGGAGCAAUUGGACAACUAUAUGCUGAAAAUUAACCUAGAUCUUAUGUCACACAAAAAAUUAGCUCAAUAUGGACUGCUGAUCUAAAUAUAAAAUGCAAACUAUGAAUUUUCUAGAAGAAAACAAAAGAAAGUAUAUGUGGCCUUGAAUUUAAGAAGUUUUUAGAUAUAACACCAAAAUUACAGUCCGUGAAAGAAAAAUUUUGAUUAAGUUGGGCUUUAUAAAAUUUAGAAACUUCUGCAUUGUGACAUGCUUUGGUAAGAGAAUGAAAAGACAAACUACAGCCUUGGAGAGAAUAUUUGUAAAAAGUAUAUCUGAUAAUGUACUUGUGUCCAAAAUACAGGGAAAAAAAUUUAGAACUCAAUAAGAAAACAACCCAAUUAAAAGAUGUUUAAAAUAUCUGAAUAGACACCUCACCAAAGAAGAUAUGCAUAUAACAAGAAAGCAUAUAAAAAGAUGGUCAACAUCAUAUGUCAUCAGGGAAUUGCAAAUGAAACCAUAAUGAUAUACCAACGCACCAUGUUAAAGUAGCUAAAAUCCAAAAGAACUGCUGGUGGAAAGGCAAAAUAAUACAGCCACGUUGGAAGACAGUAUACCAGUUUCUUUCAACGCUGAACCUAGUCUUACCAUACAUUUCAGCAAUCACACUUCCAGGUAUCAAUCCAACUGAUUUGAAAACUUUUAUCUACACAGAAUUCUGCACGCCAAUGUUUUCAGCAGUUUUAUUUAUAAUUACCAAAUCCUGAAAGUAACCAAGGAUUACUUCAGUAGGUAAAAUGAUAAAUAAACUAUGGUACAUUCAUCCAAUGGAAUGUAUAUUCAGUGAUAAAAAGGAAUGAGCUAUCAAACCAUGUGAAAACAUAGAUGACUUUUAAAUAACAAGUUGUUAAACGAAUGGAAACCAGUCUUGAAAAUUCCCUGCUCAGAAAAAAACAGUUUAGUCAUACAAACCAAGCUUAAUUUAGCUUCGUUUGCAAGACUAACUUGACUUGGAUCAUUUCUCAUUAUGCCUCUGGAAAUCAUAAGAAAAAUUUAGAUAUCUGGAAUAAAUAGAUAUAUAUGUAUGUGUAACUGAAUCUCUUUGCUGUGCACCUGAAACUAACACAAUGUUGUAAAUCAACUAUACUUCAAUAAAAAAGAAAGAAAAAUUUAAGCUGCUUCCCAAAAUGGAUAUGAGGUAAUCACUAACCAAUUCCCUAUCAUUUAAGAAAAUUCUAAUAUUAUAAUCAAUCACUGUGAAGAAUAAACAGUCACUGCUUCCCGCUGUGUAAACUGCUUUGUAACAGUAUAUACUGAGCCUCGCUCCAUGUAUUGGUUUGCGCGCUCUUGGUUCAUGAAUUGUUUUUGUUGUGUGUGCAAAAUAAACUUACUAAUUACUA